GAGUUUGAUCCUGGCUCAGAUUGAACGCUGGCGGCAUGCUUUACACAUGCAAGUCGAACGGCAGCACGGGUGCUUGCACCUGGUGGCGAGUGGCGAACGGGUGAGUAAUGCAUCGGAACGUACCCAGUCGUGGGGGAUAGCCCGGGGAAACCCGGAUUAAUACCGCAUACGCCCUGAGGGGGAAAGUGGGGGACCGCAAGGCCUCACGCGAUUGGAGCGGCUGAUGUCGGAUUAGCUAGUUGGUGGGGUAAAGGCCUACCAAGGCGACGAUCCGUAGCUGGUCUGAGAGGAUGAUCAGCCACACUGGGACUGAGACACGGCCCAGACUCCUACGGGAGGCAGCAGUGGGGAAUUUUGGACAAUGGGGGCAACCCUGAUCCAGCCAUGCCGCGUGAGUGAAGAAGGCCUUCGGGUUGUAAAGCUCUUUCAGUUGGGAAGAAACGGGGUUCUCUAAUACAGGGCUCUACUGACGGUACCGACAGAAGAAGCACCGGCUAACUACGUGCCAGCAGCCGCGGUAAUACGUAGGGUGCGAGCGUUAAUCGRAAUUACUGGGCGUAAAGCGUGCGCAGGCGGUUGUGUAAGACAGGUGUGAAAUCCCCGGGCUUAACCUGGGAACUGCGCUUGUGACUGCACGGCUAGAGUACGGCAGAGGGGGGUGGAAUUCCACGUGUAKCAGUGAAAUGCGUAGAGAUGUGGAGGAACACCGAUGGCGAAAGCAGCCCCCUGGGCCGAUACUGACGCUCAUGC
rnacentral:rRNA from 1 species